rnacentral:tRNA from 1 species
GCCAGAAUAGUUUAAAAAAAACAACAAUUUUGUAAAUUGUAAUUGAGUUAUCUUUUGGCU